AGCAGUAUGGUGUAAUGCCGCACCCGGGAUUUUUUUAUGUCAGCACCAUGACGUGAAUGUAUUCCUGAGGUCCUUGUUCGAAUCAGGGUACUGCUC